rnacentral:snRNA from 1 species
AUCGCUUCCCGGCCUUUUGGCUAAGAUCAAGUGUAGUAUCUGUUCUUAUCAGUUUAAUAUCUGACACGUCCUCUAUCUGAGGACAAUAUAUUAAAUGGGUUUUUGGAGCAUGGAGAUGGAAUAGGAGCUUGCUCCGUCCACUCCAUCAUCGACCCGUAUUGCAGUACCUCUGGGAACGGUGCACACACA